GCCAGAGUGGAGUAGAGGUUUGAGCACUGGAGUAUGACUCUGGAGUCCAGGGUUCAAUUCCCUGCUAAGCCA